rnacentral:rRNA from 1 species
GGGACGCUGCGUAAUCGGAUACCUGGCUCGAGUUUAUCCUGGCUCGCUACGCUGAACAAGGUAGCCGAAGGUGAUUCCACGGGGAUAACCUACCUAUGAGACUGGGAUAACUUCGGGAAACCGGAGCUAAUACCGGAUAAUAUUUUGAACCGCAGGUUCAAAAGUGAAAGACGGUCUUGCUGUCACUUAUAGAUGGAUCCGCGCUGCAUUAGCUAGUUGGUAAGGUAACGGCUUACCAAGGCAACGAUGCAUAGCCGACCUGAGAGGGUGAUCGGCCACACUGGAACUGAGACACGGUCCAGACUCCUACGGGAGGCAGCAGUAGGGAAUCUUCCGCAAUGGGCGAAAGCCUGACGGAGCAACGCCGCGUGAGUGAUGAAGGUCUUCGGAUCGUAAAACUCUGUUAUUAGGGAAGAACAUAUGUGUAAGUAACUGUGCACAUCUUGACGGUACCUAAUCAGAAAGCCACGGCUAACUACGUGCCAGCAGCCGCGGUAAUACGUAGGUGGCAAGCGUUAUCCGGAAUUAUUGGGCGUAAAGCGCGCGUAGGCGGUUUUUUAAGUCUGAUGUGAAAGCCCACGGCUCAACCGUGGAGGGUCAUUGGAAACUGGAAAACUUGAGUGCAGAAGAGGAAAGUGGAAUUCCAUGUGUAGCGGUGAAAUGCGCAGAGAUAUGGAGGAACACCAGUGGCGAAGGCGACUUUCUGGUCUGUAACUGACGCUGAUGUGCGAAAGCGUGGGGAUCAAACAGGAUUAGAUACCCUGGUAGUCCACGCCGUAACGAUGAGUGCUAAGUGUUAGGGGUUUCCGCUCCUUAGUGCUGCAGCUAACGCAUUAAGCACUCCGCCUGGGGAGUACGACCGCACUGAACUCAAGGAUUGACGGGGACCCGCACAGCGUGAGCAUGUGUUUAUCGAGCACGCGAGACUACAAAUCUGACAUCUUGACACUCUGAGAUGAGCUCCCUCGGGACAAGUGACAGUGGUGCAUGUUGUCGUCAGCUCUGUCGUGAGAUGUUGGGUAAGUCCGCACAGCCCACCUAGCCUAGUGCCUCAUAGUUGGCACUCUAGUGACUGCGGUCAACGAGAAAGAUGGUGAGUCAUCCAUUGGCUGAUGGUACUGGUCCAUGCGUCAAGGAGCAACCCCG